CUACGGGGGGCUCCAGUGAGGAAUAUUGCACAAUGGGGGAAACCCUGAUGCAGCAACGCCGCGUGGAGGAUGACGCAUUUCGGUGUGUAAACUCCUUUUAUAUGUCAAGAAAAUGACGGUAGCAUAUGAAUAAGCACCGGCUAACUCCGUGCCAGCGAGCCGCGGUAAUACGGAGGGUGCAAGCGUUACUCGGAAUCACUGGGCGUAAAGGACGCGUAGGCUGGUUGGUAAGUCAGGUGUGAAAUCCUACAGCUUAACUGUAGAACUGCACUUGAAACUACCAACCUAGAGUAUGGGAGGGGGAGAUGGAAUUAGUGGUGUAGGGGUAAAAUCCGUAGAUAUCACUAGGAAUACCGAAAGCGAAGGCGAUCUCCUGGAACAUAACUGACGCUAAGGCGUGAAAGCGUGGGGAGCAAACAGGAUUAGAUACCCGGGUAGUC
rnacentral:rRNA from 1 species